rnacentral:rRNA from 1 species
AUUGAACGCUGGCGGCAUGCCUUACACAUGCAAGUCGAACGGCAGCGCGGGAGCAAUCCUGGCGGCGAGUGGCGAACGGGUGAGUAAUGCAUCGGAACGUGCCUAGUAGUGGGGGAUAACUGCUCGAAAGAGCAGCUAAUACCGCAUACGACCUGAGGGUGAAAGGGGGGGAUCGCAAGACCUCUCGCUAUUAGAGCGGCCGAUGUCGGAUUAGCUAGUUGGUGGGGUAAAGGCCCACCAAGGCAACGAUCCGUAGCUGGUCUGAGAGGACGACCAGCCACACUGGGACUGAGACACGGUCCAGACUCCUACGGGAGGCAGCAGUGGGGAAUAUUGGACAAUGGGCGAAAGCCUGAUCCAGCCAUGCCGCGUGUGUGAAGAAGGUCUUCGGAUUGUAAAGCACUUUAAGUCGGGAGGAAGGGCUGCAGGUUAAUACCUUGCAGCCUUGACGUUACCGACAGAAUAAGCACCGGCUAACUUCGUGCCAGCCGCCGCAGUAACAC